rnacentral:lncRNA from 1 species
GAGCUUUCUCACAAAAGCUCAGAAAGGGCGGUUUCUGCUCUUUUCACCAGAGCUCUUGGAACCUGAGCCUGCCUGGAGUUAGUCUAAAGAAGCCUCAGUCCUAGACCUAAGAGGCUAGUUCACUCACACCCUACCAGCUCUUCGUGCCCAGGACAUAUUUGUGUGUGUGUUGAUUUCUGGGUUUGUCUCCAUGGGAGUCUGACAUAAUAGACAGCCUCAGGCACCUACCUCAACCGCUGCACUUCUGAGCACACAUUCCUUAGUGCUAUGACUUGAGGUCUUUCCCUCCAAAGUUCAGUCACAACCCAUUAGCAAUGAGAUGAUGUGGAGUGGCCAAGCCAGCUCUGAGACUGAGGCAGGUUUAAUUUUUUACCAAUCUGCUUUUAUACCAUUUUAACUACAUGCAAGUAUUAAAGUCAGCUCUAGGUUGUGAAACAAGCAAGGCACAAAGUCCUGUGAUCACUCCCUUGAGGUCUCUGUUUUUAAGGGCUUAUCAGGAUGGCCAAAAUAUCUGAGCCUACUUUCCUGUCCUAGCCUCAAAUCAGAUUCUUGCCUGAAGCCUAGUUCUUUGGUCCACCCAAAACUAGAUUCCUGCCUGAGCUUACUUCCUUGCCAUGGUCUAAUGUCAGGUUCCUGCAUGAAGCCCAUUUCCUUGUCCUUGGCCAAUGUCAGACUGCUGCCAAGCAACCCCCAAAGCUAUCCACAGUCGAGCUGUAAAAGAUGUUAGAUUAGUCCAGCAAGAUGGCUCCUCUGGGAAAGGAACUUGCUCCACAGGCGUCGAGACCUGAUUUCCAUCCUCAGAAUCCAGGUAAAGGCAGAAGAGGACCAACUUCACAAGCCUGCCUUGACUGUGGCACAAACCACAUACAUACAUCACACUCAUGCAGUAAUGGGAACCAAGACUUUUUAAGAUGUUAAAUAACACGAUCUUGGGGUUCAUGGUGUGUUCAGAUAUCCCGCAACAGCAAGUCAUUCAGACGAUCAGUGCUGCUCUCUUAGCAGGGGACACUCCUCAAGCAGGACUGGAUUAAUCCAUGGGAGCGAGCAGCUGAGCCGUGAGAAGCCAGAAAGCCUGAUGUGGUCCACCCCUUUCCCUGGAAUCACUCCUUUCCAUGUGGGCUGAAUGCCCACGUGCAGCUGUCUGAUCUCAGGAUUUCUAUCAUCCAGAGUAUUCUCUGGAAGCUCCAGCGGGGUUGGCCCAGCUCCUGGCUUCCUCUCCUGGCAACAGCCUCAGGUCUUUUUGAUGAAUUGAAUGAGAAGUGGAGCCCUCAGGUCCAGUCCUGAUCCUGCAGGUAAGCAGGUGCUUGCUCAUGAAGCUUACACAGAACUCAUGUGACCACGAAGCCAAGGUGGCCGAGAGAAGGCAGCUUCCUGGAAUCUCAGCCUUCCACCAGGCCAGGAGCCAGUCUGCUGCUUCUGUCUGCCUGUACCAAGCAUCUCCCUCAGAGGGAGGAGCCAUGGCCCCAGAAGAUGCUAAGCACUAAAGGAGGCCAUAUGCUUCUACCUUACCAGGUUUUCCGAUGCCCGUGGAGGUCAGAAGAGGGUACCGGACCAAUGGAAUUCAGGUGGCUGUGGUGAGCGCUGUGGGUUGUGAGAACUGAACCUGGGUCCUCUGUAAGAAGGACAAGAGCUCAUGACUGCUUAUCUUCUCUCUGGCCCCUCAUUUUACCUUCACGGGGUCUUGCGUGGCCCAGCCUCACCUCUGAGCUGCUGCUCAGAGAAGGGUGAGUUUGAACUCCCGAUCUUCCUUCCUCUGCCUCCCAAGUGAUGAGAACUGCCACUCCAGGUUUUUGCAGAGCUGAGGACUAAAGUUGGUGCACCAGAGAUGGUGGUUUCUCUGCUUAGCCCUGGCUGUCCUGGAACUCCCACUGUGAACCAGGGCUGGCCUCAAACUCACAGAGAUCUGCCUGCCUCUGCCCCCAGAGUGCUAGGAUUAAAGGCGUGCGCCACCACUGCUGGUAAAAAAGAAAAACAAAACCCAAACCCUUGUUUCUUCCCGCAUACCCUCUCAGUAAGUUUAUCUUCUCCUUGUGGCUUCAGAGCCCUGAGCAGAGCAGGGUUUAUCAACCCCACAUCACAGAGGAAACAUAAAAGGCCCAUUCACCCUGAGAGCAGACGGCUCAGCACAGUGCCCUGGGGCGGGCUACGGCUGCAACAUACUGCGGGUUGUUUCACGAGAGUCUGGGGGGCAUGAACAUAAAAUGGGUCUUUAGGGCAAUGUAUCUACGUUACUACACGGCUGCAAAGGUUAUCAUGUCCCAAACCACCAUAAAAGAGAGCCCAAGGUAGCCUUGAUUUCUUGAUUUCUUUGUUCUGUUGCUGUUUUGUAACUCAGGAUUAAAGCAUCCACCCCUGUUUCACCACAUUCCGUCUGGGAGACGGGGUUAGAACUGAGAUAAAAGGGGGGGGGGGGAGCCUUUGCUCACACCCCCCUCCACUUUUAAUAUUUACUAUUAUUUUGUGUGUGCGUGUGCGUGUGUGUGCGUGUGCGUGUGUGUGCGUGUGUGUGUGCAUGUGUGUGUGUGUGUGUUCGUGUGCAUGUGAGUGCACGUCCUCUGACCCCUGUGGAGGACAGAGAUACCAGACUCCCCUGGAGCCAUAGUUACAGACAUCUGUGAUUUGCCUGAUGUGGGAACUGAACCGGGGAGUUUUGGAACUGGGACAGCCCCAUUGCUGCUCAUCCUCCCUGUGCCUCGAUGCUUUGCCCUCACCUUCACAG